UACAGAGGUCUCAAGCGUUGUUCGGAUUCAUUGGGCGUAAAGGGUGCGUAGGUGGUGACGCAAGUCUGGUGUGAAAUCUCGGAGCUUAACUCCGAAAUUGCACCGGAUACUGCGUAACUCGAGGACUGUAGAGGAGAUCGGAAUUCACGGUGUAGCAGUGAAAUGCGUAGAUAUCGUGAGGAAGACCAGUUGCGAAGGCGGACCUCUGGGCAGUUCCUGACACUGAGGCACGAAGGCCAGGGGAGCAAACGGG
rnacentral:rRNA from 1 species